rnacentral:rRNA from 1 species
AACGAACGCUGGCGGCAGGCUUAACACAUGCAAGUCGAGCGCCCCGCAAGGGGAGCGGCAGACGGGUGAGUAACGCGUGGGAAUCUACCCAUCUCUACGGAAUAACGCAUGGAAACGUGUGCUAAUACCGUAUACGUCCUACGGGAGAAAGAUUUAUCGGAGAUGGAUGAGCCCGCGUUGGAUUAGCUAGUUGGUGGGGUAAAGGCCUACCAAGGCGACGAUCCAUAGCUGGUCUGAGAGGAUGAUCAGCCACACUGGGACUGAGACACGGCCCAGACUCCUACGGGAGGCAGCUGUGGGGAAUAUUGGACAAUGGGCGCAAGCCUGAUCCAGCCAUGCCGCGUGAGUGAUGAAGGCCCUAGGGUUGUAAAGCUCUUUCACCGGUGAAGAUAAUGACGGUAACCGGAGAAGAAGCCCCGGCUAACCUCGUGCCAGCAGCCGCAGUAACAC